rnacentral:tRNA from 1 species
CGGGAUGUAGCGCAGCUUGGUAGCGCGUUCGGUUCGGGACCGAAAGGUCGCUAGUUCAAAUCUAGUCAUCCCGACCA